rnacentral:rRNA from 1 species
UACAGAGGGGGCAAGCGUUAUUCGGAAUUAUUGGGCGUAAAGGGCGCGUAGGCGGCGCGGUAUGUCUCUUGUGAAAUCUCCAGGCUCAACUUGGAGUCUGCAAGGGAAACUGCCGUGCUUGAGUACUGGAGAGGUGAGUGGAAUUCCCGGUGUAGCGGUGAAAUGCGUAGAUAUCAGGAGGAACACCGAUGGCGAAGGCAGAUCUCUGGGCCGUAACUGACGCUGAGGAGCGAAAGCGUGGGGAGCGAACAGG